rnacentral:rRNA from 1 species
GAUGAACGCUGGCGGCGUGCCUAAUACAUGCAAGUCGAGCGAACAGAUAAGGAGCUUGCUCCUUUGACGUUAGCGGCAGACGGGUGAGUAACACGUGGGUAACCUACCUAUAAGACUGGGAUAACUUCGGGAAACCGGAGCUAAUACCGGAUAACAUUUGGAACCGCAUGGUUCUAAAGUGAAAGAUGGUUUUGCUAUCACUUAUAGAUGGACCCGCGCCGUAUUAGCUAGUUGGUAAGGUAACGGCUUACCAAGGCGACGAUACGUAGCCGACCUGAGAGGGUGAUCGGCCACACUGGAACUGAGACACGGUCCAGACUCCUACGGGAGGCAGCAGUAGGGAAUCUUCCGCAAUGGGCGAAAGCCUGACGGAGCAACGCCGCGUGAGUGAUGAAGGGUUUCGGCUCGUAAAACUCUGUUAUUAGGGAAGAACAAACGUGUAAGUAACUGUGCACGUCUUGACGGUACCUAAUCAGAAAGCCACGGCUAACUACGUG